CAGGGAAUAGUUUAAUUAAAAUAUUAAUUUUGGAGAUUAAUGAUAGGUCUAUAUCUUUCCUUGA
rnacentral:tRNA from 1 species